UACGUAGGGAGCGAGCGUUAUCCGGAAUUACUGGGCGUAAAGGGCGCGUAGGCGGAAUGACAAGUCAGCAAGUGAAAGCGUGGGGCUCAACCCCAUGAUGCGGCUGAAACUGUUAUUCUAGAGGCAUGGAGAGGCAAACGGAAUUCCCGGUGUAGCGGUGAAAUGCGUAGAUAUCGGGAAGAACACCAGUGGCGAAGGCGGUUUGCUGGCCAUGAACUGACGCUCAUAGCGCGAAAGCUAGGGUAGCAAACGGG
rnacentral:rRNA from 1 species